CUCUAUUUAGCAUCGCUCCAGAGUGGCUUUGAAAUAUCAAAGUAACGAAUAACUUAUCGAUUUUAAGCCAAUAUUAAAUUGAAGUGCUAUAAGUGAGUUUUCUCAGUCAGCUUUUCUUUCAAUCCGUUGAUUUGGCAAAUUAAUCAAUAAAAUGAAAAGAGUGACAACCAGAAGCAUGUCAAAGGCGCAAGCCGAAAUGCAAAGUACCGAGAAUAAACCUGGAACUGUUAAUAAUUUGAACUAUCGAGAACCGAUCGUUUCGAGACCUGCAUCUUCUGAGACGCAAACAUUUAAGUCGCUGGAAUCAAGGACGGUGAUGGGCGUGACGUAUGGUGCACAAAGUGACCUGUAUCGAAUGCAAAACAUUAAAAAAGAACCACAAGACACUAAAUCAGCAAGUGUUUGCACAUGUGAAAUUAACAAACGUUUAUCAAAACCAUAAUAAAAACGUAUAUACACAUGAAAAAAA